GCCAGGUGCAGUGGUACAUGCCUGUAAUCCCAGCAAUUUAGGAGGCUGAGGCAGGAGGAUUGCAAGUUUGAGGCCAUCUUCGGUAACUUAGUGAGGCCCUAAGCAAUUUAGCAAGACCCUGUCUCUA
rnacentral:sRNA from 1 species